GAGUUUGAUCCUGGCUCAUAUUGAACGCUGGCGGAAUGCUUUACCCAUGCAAGUCGAACGGCAGCACGGACUUCGGUCUGGUGGCGAGUGGCGAACGGGUGAGUAAUAUAUCGGAACGUGCCCAGUCGUGGGGGAUAACGUAGUGAAAAUUACGCUAAUACCGCAUACGAUCUAAGGAUGAAAGCGGGGGAUCGCAAGACCUCGCGCGAUUGGAGCGGCUGAUAUCAGAUUAGGUAGUUGGUGAGGUAAAGGCUCACCAAGCCAACGAUCUGUAGCUGGUCUGAGAGGACGACCAGCCACACUGGAACUGAAACACGGUCCAGACUCCUACGGGAGGCAGCAGUGGGGAAUUUUGGACAAUGGACGCCAGUCUGAUCCAGCCAUUCCGCGUGCAGGACGAAGGCCUUCGGGUUGUAAACUGCUUUUGUACAGAACGAAAAGGUCUCUAUUAAUACUAGGGGCUCAUGACGGUACUGUAAGAAUAAGCACCGGCUAACUACGUGCCAGCAGCCGCGGUAAUACGUAGGGUGCAAGCGUUAAUCGGAAUUACUGGGCGUAAAGCGUGCGCAGGCGGUUAUAUAAGACAGAUGUGAAAUCCCCGGGCUCAACCUGGGAACUGCAUUUGUGACUGUAUAGCUGGAGUGCGGCAGAGGGGGAUGGAAUUCCGCGUGUAGCAGUGAAAUGCGUAGAUAUGCGGAGGAACACCGAUGGCGAAGGCAAUCCCCUGGGCCUGCACUGACGCUCAUGCACGAAAGCGUGGGGAGCAAACAGGAUAGAUACCCUGGUAGUCCACGCCCUAAACGAUGUCAACUGGNUGUUGGGUCUUCACUGACUCAGUAACGACGCUAACGCGUGAAGUUGACCGCCUGGGGAGUACGGCCGCUAAGGUGAAAACUCAAAGGAAUGGACGGGGACCC
rnacentral:rRNA from 1 species